UACGUAGGGGGCAAGCGUUGUCCGGAAUCAUUGGGCGUAAAGAGCGUGUAGGCGGCCCGAUAAGUCCGCUGUGAAAGUCCAGGGCUCAACCCUGGAAUGCCAGUGGAAACUGUCGGGCUGGAGUCCGGAAGAGGCGAGUGGAAUUCCUGGUGUAGCGGUGAAAUGCGCAGAUAUCAGGAGGAACACCGGUGGCGAAGGCGGGUCUCUGGGCCGAUACUGACGCUGAGGAGCGAAAGCGUGGGGAGCGAACAGG
rnacentral:rRNA from 1 species